GACGUAGGGCGCAAGCGUUGUCCGGAUUUAUUGGGCGUAAAGAGCUCGUAGGCGGCUUGCCACGUCUGCCGUGAAAACCAGCAGCUUAACUGUUGGCUUGCGGUUGAUACGGGUUGGCUGGAGUUCGGUAGGGGAGACUGGAAUUCCUGGUGUAGCGGUGAAAUGCGCAGAUAUCAGGAGGAACACCGGUGGCGAAGGCGGCCAUCUGGACCAGCACUGACACUGAGGCACGAAAAGCGUGGGGGAGCAAACAGG
rnacentral:rRNA from 1 species